CCUACGGGAGGCAGCAGUAGGGAAUAUUGCUCAAUGGGGGAAACCCUGAAGCAGCAACGCCGCGUGGAGGAUGAAGGUUUUCGGAUUGUAAACUCCUUUUGUUAGAGAAGAUAAUGACGGUAUCUAACGAAUAAGCACCGGCUAACUCCGUGCCAGCAGCUGCGGUAAUACGGCGGGUGCAAGCGUUACUCGGAAGCACUGGGCGUAAAGAGCGCGUGGGCGGGAUAGCAAGUCAGAUGUGAAAUCCUAUGGCUUAACCAUAGAACGGCAUUUGAAACUGUUAUUCUAGAGAAUGGGAGAGGUAGGUGGAAUUCUUGGUGUAGGGGUAAAAUCCGUAGAGAUCAAGAGGAAUACUCAUUGCGAAGGCGACCUGCUAGAACAUAACUGACGCUGAUGCGCGAAAGCGUGGGGAGCAAACAGGAUUAGAUACCCUAGUAGUC
rnacentral:rRNA from 1 species